rnacentral:tRNA from 1 species
AAGUAAGAAGCGAUUAAUUGCUUUUAGUUUCGACCUAAAUUUAGAUAUAAUUAAAUAUCCUUACUUU